rnacentral:misc_RNA from 1 species
AAAUGCGAUAAGUAAUGUGAAUUGCAGAAUUCAGUGAAUCAUCGAAUCUUUGAACGCACCUUGCGCUCCUUGGUAUUCCUUGGAGCAUGCCUGUUUGAGUAUCAUGAAAUCUUCAAAGUAAAUCUUUUGUUAACUCAAUUGGUUUCUACUUUGGUAUUGGAGGUCUUUGCAGCUUCACACCUGCUCCUCUUUGUUCAUUAGCUGAAUCUCAGUGUUAUGCUUGGUUCCACUCGGCGUGAUAAGUUAUCUAUCGCUGAGGACACUGUAAAAGGUGGCCAAGGUAAAUGCAGAUGAACCGCUUCUAAUAGUCCAUUGACUUGGACAAUACUUUUAUGAUCUGAUCUCAAAUCAGGUAGGACUACCCGCUGAACUUAAGC